rnacentral:rRNA from 1 species
UACAGAGGGGGCAAGCGUUAUUCGGAAUUAUUGGGCGUAAAGGGCGCGUAGGCGGCCAUUCAAGUGACGGGUGAAAGCCCUCGGCUUAACCGAGGAACUGCCUGUCAGACUGGAUGGCUUGAGACCGGGAGAGGUGAGUGGAAUUCCCAGUGUAGCGGUGAAAUGCGUAGAUAUUGGGAGGAACACCAGUGGCGAAGGCGGCUCACUGGACCGGAACUGACGCUGAGGCGCGAAAGCGUGGGGAGCAAACAGG